GAAUCUCUUAGCAACCAUUAUUUUUUUGCCUUCCGAAAAUUUUG
rnacentral:misc_RNA from 1 species